rnacentral:rRNA from 1 species
UGCGUAGGCGGCUCUAUAAGUAUGGUGUGAAAUCUCCCGGCUUAACUGGGAGGGUGCGCUAUAGACUGUGGGGCUAGAGGGUGGGAGAGGAAAGUGGAAUUCCUGGUGUAGCGGUGAAAUGCGUAGAUAUCAGGAGGAACACCGGUGGUGUAAACGGCUUUCUGGACCACUUCUGACGCUGAGGCACGAAAGCGUGGGUAGCAAACAGGAUUAGAUACCCUGGUAGUCCACGCCCUAAACGAUGCAUAUUUGGUGUGGGCCAUUCAUUUGGUCUGUGCCGGAGCUAACGCGUUAAAUAUGCCGCCUGGGGAGUACAGUCGCAAGGCUGAA